rnacentral:rRNA from 1 species
UACGAAGGGGGCUAGCGUUGUUCGGAAUUACUGGGCGUAAAGCGUGCGCAGGCGGCUGCUCAAGUCAGUGGUGAAAGCCCGGGGCUCAACCCCGGGUCGGCCGUGGCAACUGCUGGGCUGGAGCACAGUAGAGGCGGGUGGAAUUCCGGGUGUAGCGGUGGAAUGCGUAGAGAUCCGGAAGAACACCGGUGGCGAAGGCGGCCCGCUGGGCUGUUGCUGACGCUGAGGCGCGACAGCGUGGGGAGCAAACAGG